rnacentral:rRNA from 1 species
GUUUGAUCCUGGCUCAGGAUGAACGCUAGCGGGAGGCUUAAACACAUGCAAAGUCGAGGGGCAGCACGAGGUAGCAAUACUUUGGUGGCGACCGGCGCACGGGUGAGUAACGCGUAUGUAACCUACCCUGUACAGGGGGAUAACCCGGAGAAAUUCGGACUAAUAUCCCAUAAAGAUAUAAGAGGGCAUCCUUUUGUAUUUAAAGCUCAGGCGGUACGGGAUGGGCAUGCGUAACAUUAGCUAGUUGGUAGGGUAACGGCCUACCAAGGCUACGAUGUUUAGGGGUCCUGAGAGGGUGAUCCCCCACACUGGUACUGAGACACGGACCAGACUCCUACGGGAGGCAGCAGUGAGGAAUAUUGGUCAAUGGGCGCAAGCCUGAACCAGCCAUCCCGCGUGCAGGAAGACGGCCCUAUGGGUUGUAAACUGCUUUUCCAGGGGGUGAAACUCCCGUACGAGUACGGGACUGACGGUACCUUGGGAAUAAGCAUCGGCUAACUCCGUGCCAGCAGCCGCGGUAAUACGGAGGAUGCGAGCGUUAUCCGGAUUUAUUGGGUUUAAAGGGUGCGUAGGCGGAUUAAUAAGUCAGUGGUGAAAUCCUGCAGCUUAACUGUGGAACUGCCAUUGAUACUGUUAGUCUUGAGUAUGGUCAAGGUAGGCGGAAUGUGUAAUGUAGCGGUGAAAUGCUUAGAUAUUACACAGAACACCGAUUGCGAAGGCAGCUUACUGGGCCAUUACUGACGCUGAUGCACGAAAGCGUGGGGAUCGAACAGGAUUAGAUACCCUGGUAGUCCACGCCGUAAACGAUGAUCACUCGCUGUUAGCGAUACACAGUUAGCGGCUAAGCAAAAGCAUUAAGUGAUCCACCUGGGGAGUACGGCCGCAAGGCUGAAACUCAAAGGAAUUGACGGGGGCCCGCACAAGCGGAGGAACAUGUGGUUUAAUUCGAUGCAACGCGAAGAACCUUACCUGGGUUUGACAUAUACCGGAAACAUCUGGAGACAGGUGCCCCGCAAGGUCGGUAUACAGGUGGUGCAUGGCUGUCGUCAGCUCGUGUCGUGAGGUGUUGGGUUAAGUCCCGCAACGAGCGCAACCCUCGUUCUAUGUUGCCAGCGGUUCGGCCGGGAACUCAUAGAAGACUGCCGGGGUCAACUCGGAGGAAGGUGGGGAUGACGUCAAGUCAUCAUGCCCCUUAUGUCCAGGGCUUCACGCAUGCUACAAUGGCUGGUACAAAGGGCUGCAAUACCGCAAGGUGGAGCGAAUCCCAUAAAGCCAGUCUCAGUUCGGAUUGGGGUCUGCAACUCGACCCCAUGAAGUCGGAGUCGCUAGUAAUCGCAGAUCAGCAACGCUGCGGUGAAUACGUUCCCGGGGCUUGUACACACCGCCCGUCAAGUCAUGAAAGUCGGUAACACCCGAAGCCGGUGGCCUAACCCGUUUGGGGGGGAGCUGUCGAAGGUGGGACUGGUAAUUAGGACUAAGUCGUAACAAGGUAGCCG